rnacentral:rRNA from 1 species
GAUGAACGCUGGCGGCGUGCUUAACACAUGCCAGUCGAACGGAAAGGCCCUGCUUGUUUGGGGUGCUCGAGGGGCGAACGGGUGAGUAACACGUGAGUAACCUGCCCUUCACUUUGGGAUAACUUCAGGUAACUGGGGCUAAUACCGGAUAGGAGCUCCUGCUGCAUGGUGGGGGUUGGAACGUCUCGGCGGUUGGGGAUGGACUCGCGGCUUAUCAGCUUGUUGGUGGGGUAGUGGCUUACCAAGGCAUUGACGGGUCGCCGGCCUGAGAGGGUGACCGGCCACAUUGGGACUAAGAUACGGCCCAGACUCCUACGGGAGACAGCGGUGGGGAAUAUUGCACAAUGGGCGGAAGCCUGAUGCAGAAACGCCGCGUGCGGGAUGACGGCCUUCGGGUUGUAAACCGCUUUCGCCUGUGACGAAGCGUGAGUGACGGUAAUGGGUAAAGAAGCACCGGCUAACUACGUG